AUCCUAUCUUGACGAAUGGAUGUUUGUUCUUCCUUGGAAAGAAGUCCCACAAAACCAGGGAAGUCUGUUUAAUUUACUGCUAUUGCCUACAAAAACUGGUCCGAAUGGCCUGCUGAAUGGAUGCUUGGCAGGUUGGAUGGAUAGGUGGAUCUGCACAACUUUCAAGCAAAAAGGAUAUAGGGUGACCAGUUGCCUCUACUCAGGGCAGCAGGCAUGGACCUUGGAACUACGAACCACAACAAACUCCUUCCUACUCAAGUUUUUAUGUCAAGAAUUUGACCACAUCAU